rnacentral:rRNA from 1 species
CCUACGGGUGGCAGCAGUGAGGAAUAUUGGUCAAUGGGCGCGAGCCUGAACCAGCCAAGUCGCGUGAGGGAAGACGGUCCUAUGGAUUGUAAACCUCUUUUGUCGGGGAGCAAAAGACGCCACGCGUGGCGUUCCGAGAGUACCCGAAGAAAAAGCAUCGGAUAACACCGUGCCAGCAGCCGCGGUAAUACGGAGGAUGCGAGCGUUAUCCGGAUUUAUUGGGUUUAAAGGGUGCGCAGGCGGAAGAUCAAGUCAGCGGUAAAAUUGAGAGGCUCAACCUCUUCGAGCCGUUGAAACUGGUUGUCUUGAGUGAGUGAGAAGUAUGCGGAAUGCGUGGUGUAGCGGUGAAAUGCAUAGAUAUCACGCAGAACUCCGAUUGCGAAGGCAGCAUACCGGCGCUCAACUGACGCUCAUGCACGAAAGUGUGGGUAUCGAACAGGAUUAGAUACCCCAGUAGUC